rnacentral:rRNA from 1 species
AUGACGAAGCGCGAGUGCCGGUAGUCGGAGAAGAAGCACCGGCCAACUACGUGCCAGCAGCCGCGGUAAUACGUAGGGUGCGAGCGUUGUCCGGAAUUAUUGGGCGUAAAGGGCUCGUAGGCGGUUUGUCGCGUCGGGAGUGAAAACACGGGGCUUAACUCCGUGCUUGCUUUCGAUACGGGCAGACUAGAGGUAUGCAGGGGAGAACGGAAUUCCUGGUGUAGCGGUGAAAUGCGCAGAUAUCAGGAGGAACACCGGUGGCGAAGGCGGUUCUCUGGGCCGAAACUGACGCUGAGGAGCGAAAGCGUGGGGAGCGAACAGGAUUAGAUACCCUGGUAGUCCACGCCGUAAACGUUGGGCGCUAGGUGUGGGGGCCAUUCCACGGUUUCCGUGCCGCGGCUAACGCAUUAAGCGCCCCGCCUGGGGAGUACGGCCGCAAGGCUAAAACUCAAAGGAAUUGACGGGGGCCCGCACAAGCGGCGGAGCAUGUUGCUUAAUUCGAUGCAACGCGAAGAACCUUACCUAGGCUUGACAUGCACGGAAAUCCGGCAGAGAUGUCGGGUCCGUAAGGGUCGUGCACAGGUGGUGCAUGGUUGUCGUCAGCUCGUGUCGUGAGAUGU